rnacentral:rRNA from 1 species
UACGGAGGGUGCGAGCGUUGUCCGGAAUCAUUGGGCGUAAAGGGCGCGUAGGUGGCGGGACAAGCGUGCGGUGAAAGCCUGGGGCUCAACCCCGGGUCGGCCGUGCGAACUGUUUUGCUUGAGCACUGUAGAGGCAGGCGGAAUUCCGGGUGUAGCGGUGGAAUGCGCAGAUAUCAGGAGGAACACCGGUGGCGAAGGCGGAUCUCUGGGCCUUACCUGACGCUCAGGUGCGAAAGCUAGGGGAGCGAACAGG